CCAGAGACAAGGAAGGGCUUACGGUGGAUACCUAGGCACCCAGAGACGAGGAAGGGUGUGGUAAGUGACGAAAUGCUUCGGGGAGUUGAAAAUGAGCAUAGAUUCAGAGAUUCCCGAAUAGGUUAACCUUUUUAACUGCUGCUGAAUCCAUGGGCAGGCAAGAGACAACCUGGUGAACUAAAACAUCUUAGUAGCCAGAGGAAUAGAAAGCAAAAGCGAUUCCCAUAGUAGCGGCGAGCGAAAAGGGAGCAGCCUAAACCAUGAAAACGGGGUUGUGGGAGAGCACAAUAUAAGCUCUGUGCUGCUAGGCGAAGCGAUUGAGUCCUGCACCCUAGAUGGUGAGAGUCCAGUAGCCAAAAGAAUCAUUGGGUUACGCUCUAACCCGAGUAACAUGGGGCACGUGGAAUCCCAUUUGAAUCAACAAGGACCACCUUGCAAGGCUAAAUACUCCUCAGUGACCGAUAGCGAAGUAGUACUGUGAGGGAAAGGUGAAAAGAACCCCCAUCGGGGAGUGAAAUAGAACAUGAAACCAUAAGCUCCCAAGCAGUGGGAGGAAAAUGAUAUCUCUGACCGCGUGCCUAUUGAAGAAUGAGCCGGCGACUUAUAGGCAGUGGCUUGGUUAAGGGAACCUACCGGGGUUGUAGCGAGAGCGAGUCUUCAUGGGGCAAUUGUCACUGCUUAUGGACCCGAACCUAGGUGAUCUAUCCGUGACCAGGAUGAAGCUUGGGUGAAACCAAGUGGAGGUCCGAACCAACUGAUGUUGAAAAAUUAGCGGAUGAGUCGUGGUUAGGGGUGAAAUGCCACUCGAACCCAGAGCUAGCUGGUUCUCCCCGAAAUGCGUUGAGGUGCAACAGUUGACUAGACCAUCUAGGGGUAAAGAACUGUUUUGGUAUGGGCUGCGAGAGCGGUACCAAAUCGAGGCAAACUAUGAAUACUAGAUUACCCCAAUAAAAGGGGUAAAGGUCAGCCAGUGAGAUGAUGGGGGAUAAGCUUCAUCGUCGAGAGGGAAACAACCCAGAUCAUCAGCUAAGGCCCCUAAAUGACCGCUCAGUGAUGAAGGAAGUACGAGUGCAAA
rnacentral:ncRNA from 1 species